GACGAACGCUGGCGGCGUGCUUAACACAUGCAAGUCGAACGGUAAGGCCUCUUCGGGGGUACACGAGUGGCGAACGGGUGAGUAACACGUGAGUAACCUGCCCUUGACUUUGGGAUAACAUCUGGAAACAGGUGCUAAUACCGGAUAUGAGCUUGUCCUGCAUGGGAUGGGUUGGAAAGCUCCGGCGGUCAUGGAUGGACUCGCGGCCUAUCAGCUUGUUGGUGAGGUAAUGGCUCACCAAGGCUUCGACGGGUAGCCGGCCUGAGAGGGCGGCCGGCCACAUUGGGACUGAGAUACGGCCCAAACUCCUACGGGAGGCAGCAGUGGGGAAUAUUGCACAAUGGGCGGAAGCCUGAUGCAGCAACGCCGCGUGCGGGAUGACGGCCUUCGGGUUGUAAACCGCUUUCAGCAGGGACGAAGCGUGAGUGACGGUACCUGCAGAAGAAGCACCGGCUAACUACGUGCCAGCCGCCGCAGUAAAAC
rnacentral:rRNA from 1 species